rfam:Musa acuminata subsp. malaccensis Doubled-haploid Pahang (DH-Pahang) genomic chromosome, chr11
UAGUUACUAUGAUGUCGGCUCGGCUCACUCAGAGUGCAUGCACUACUCAGGCAAUGCAAAGUCCUCAUGCUUUGUUCUCUGAUUGAGCCGUGCCAAUAUCUUAGUACUCUUU